GACGAACGCUGGCGGCGUGCUUAACACAUGCAAGUCGAGCGGUAAGGCCCUUCGGGGUACGACGAGCGGCGAACGGGUGAGUAACACGUGGGUGACCUGCCUCUAGCUCUGGGAUAAGCCUGGGAAACUGGGUCUAAUACCGGAUAUGACUCCACGGCGCAUGUUGUGGGGUGGAAAGCCUUGUGUGGCUAGAGAUGGGCCCGCGGCCUAUCAGCUUGUUGGUGGGGUGAUGGCCACCAAGGCGACGACGGUAGCCGGCCUGAGAGGGCGACCGGCCACACUGGGACUGAGACACGGCCCAGACUCCUACGGGAGGCAGCAGUGGGGAAUCUUGCGCAAUGGGCGAAAGCCUGACGCAGCGACGCCGCGUGAGGGAUGACGGCC
rnacentral:rRNA from 1 species